rnacentral:lncRNA from 1 species
UUUGUGAGAGAUGCGACUUGGUCCCCGCUCAAUCACUCCCUGCUUACCACAGUGGGCUGGGACCAUCAGGUCGUCCACCACGUUGUGCCCACAGAACCUCUCCCAGCCCCUGGACCUGCAAGUGUUACUGAGUAGAUUGGAUUUAAGACAAAAAGCAAGUCCCCCAUGAGUGUCCACUUCUUUGCCCUGCCCUCUCAGCUUGUGAGACAACACAGGAGCCUUCUAUACUGUUCUCUGGUCCACCAAGGGCUAUGAGGCUCACCCCUUGGAUGGUGCUCAGAACCACAAGGAAUACUGAAGAAGCCUUGCCUAUGAUUUCAGGUGGCAUCAGACAUUGGGCUAAUUUUCAAGGUGUCUCUCCUUCCCAACAGGACAGUCGGAGUCUGGUUCUUUAAUAAAUAGCUAUAUGGAUCUUACUUACUGGUUCACAAUCAUAUUACAGCAGCAAAAACACCCAAGCUCUAACUGCUCUGGGCCUCCAGCCAUGUUUCCUCCAGAUAGCAUGUUAGAAAGGACAGGAGAUUUUAAAAAUCAGAUUGGACUUCAGAGGGCUCCAAAUUUUCUUGCCACAUCUAGACCUGAAAGUAAAGAGCUCUGAUUAUUAAGAGGCAGAUUCUCGUUGCAUUUGGACAGCGUGAGUAAUGGUCACACUGAACACAUUAGAAUCAGUUGUGAAAUUGAUUUUGUUUCAAAAAAGGAUAAGCAAGCUGUAGUCUCAAUUUUGAGUUAAUUGAAAUUUCUCAAGAACUUCAUCAGCAGCUCACAUGAUACAGUUUUGGAAGAGUAAACAAGGUAAGCAGACAACCCUGGGACCCCAAACACAUUUUCUUUUUUAGUUCUCCAUCAAAAAUAGGCAUUUCUGGAGUUUUGGUCUCACUGAGUGAUCACAGGACUGCUGCAAUCCAGGGAACUGAGGGAGCUGUGAGCAUCUGAGAAGAAAGGUUAGCUCUUGUUUUAAGUUGUAGAGACAACUUAAAACAAGUUGUGACACAAUUAGUGAUCCCAUAAUCUUUUAUCAUCUGGUACAACAUUUAAUAUAGUAGCAUUCUACUUACUGUGGAAACUCCUUGUUUCACAAAUGAUGUUCUGCAGCUUCAAUAUGUAAUGGAUGGACCAUCAAAGUUCAAAAUAUAAUAAGGAAUUUAAUUCCCAAACAACAUCCUUUAACAUUCUGGUGAAAGCCCAGCCAGUGUCACUGGUUGAAAGUGCCUUCAGUGGAUAUAGCUAUAUUUCACCUGUCCCUGUGAUCAUGAGGUACCAGAUUCCGGUCAAGCAUUUCACUUUGGGAGGCACCAUGUUGUAAACAUUAGGAAUUUCAGGUGCAAACUAAUUUUCCAUUCUGGUAGUAACUCUUACCUGGAGUGUCAGCUAAGUCAUGAAAAUUGUUUAGAUUAGAAAAUGCACUUUUUAUAUAUAGCCUAAAUUAGCUUCAUGUUCUGUAGUUUCUGCAGCUUGUCUCAGAAAUCCUCUGAGUAGAACUGAUGUAUGAGACCCUUUAAGACCAUUAUCCAACUGCAGUUUGCUUGGCAGAGUUAGCAUUAAUGCACCCUUUGAUCUAGGCACCUGGAGGCAGGUAAGACAGGCUCUGCGUGCACCACCGUCCCUGGACCUGUUGUGGCGGACUCCUUGAAGCAAGAUCAACUUGGGCUUUGUUUGAGUUUUUAAAGUCUUUUUUUUUUAAUGUAAAAUUUGUCAUUUUAACUUUUUAAGUAUACAGUUCAGUGGCAUUAAGUUUAUUUGCAUUUUUGUGCAGCUUUCACCACUUCCAUCUCCAAAACUUUUUCAUCAUCCCAAACUGAAACUGUACUUAUUAAACAGUAACUCCCCUUCCUCA